rnacentral:rRNA from 1 species
GCGGAUGGAGCUGAAGCCAGUCGAAGAUACCAGCUGGCUGCAACUGUUUAAUAAAAACACAGCACUGUGCAAACACGAAAGUGGACGUAUACGGUGUGACGCCUGCCCGGUGCUGGAAGGUUAAUUGAUGGGGUCAGCCGCAAGGCGAAGCUCUUGAUCGAAGCCCCAGUAAACGGCGGCCGUAACUAUAACGGUCCUAAGGUAGCGAAAUUCCUUGUCGGGUAAGUUCCGACCUGCACGAAUGGCGUAAUGAUGGCCAGGCUGUCUCCACCCGAGACUCAGUGAAAUUGAACUCGCUGUGAAGAUGCAGUGUACCCGCGGCAAGACGGAAAGACCCCGUGAACCUUUACUAUAGCUUGACACUGAACAUUGAGCCUUGAUGUGUAGGAUAGGUGGGAGGCUUUGAAGCGUGGACGCCAGUCUGCGUGGAGCCAUCCUUGAAAUACCACCCUUUAAUGUUUGAUGUUCUAACUCGGCCCCAUAAUCUGGGGUGAGGACAGUGUCUGGUGGGUAGUUUGACUGGGGCGGUCUCCUCCCAAAGAGUAACGGAGGAGCACGAAGGUUAGCUAAUCACGGUCGGACAUCGUGAGGUUAGUGCAAAGGCAUAAGCUAGCUUGACUGCGAGAGUGACGGCUCGAGCAGGUACGAAAGUAGGUCUUAGUGAUCCGGUGGUUCUGAAUGGAAGGGCCAUCGCUCAACGGAUAAAAGGUACUCCGGGGAUAACAGGCUGAUACCGCCCAAGAGUUCAUAUCGACGGCGGUGUUUGGCACCUCGAUGUCGGCUCAUCACAUCCUGGGGCUGAAGUAGGUCCCAAGGGUAUGGCUGUUCGCCAUUUAAAGUGGUACGCGAGCUGGGUUUAGAACGUCGUGAGACAGUUCGGUCCCUAUCUGCCGUGGGCGUUGGAAGAUUGAGAGGGGUUGCUCCUAGUACGAGAGGACCGGAGUGAACGCACCACUGGUGUUCGGGUUGUCAUGCCAAUGGCAUUGCCCGGUAGCUAAGUGCGGAAAAGAUAAGCGCUGAAAGCAUCUAAGCGCGAAACUUGCCUCAAGAUGAGUCUUCCCUGGGCCUUUAAGGUCCCUGAAGGAACGUUUAAGACUAAGACGUUGAUAGGCUGGGUGUGUAAGUGCAGCGAUGCAUUGAGCUAACCAGUACUAAUGAUCCGUGAGGCUUAACCUUACAACACCGAAGGUGUUU